GAUGAACGCUGGCGGCGUGCCUAAUACAUGCAAGUCGAGCGAACGGACGAGAAGCUUGCUUUUCUGAUGUUAGCGGCGGACGGGUGAGUAACACGUGGAUAACCUACCUAUAAGACUGGGAUAACUUCGGGAAACCGGAGCUAAUACCGGAUAAUAUUUUGAACCGCAUGGUUCAUAAGUGAAAGACGGUCUUGCUGUCACUUAUAGAUGGAUCCGCGCUGCAUUAGCUAGUUGGUAAGGUAACGGCUUACCAAGGCAACGAUGCAUAGCCGACCUGAGAGGGUGAUCGGCCAAACUGGAACUGAGACACGGUCCAGACUCCUACGGGAGGCAGCAGUAGGGAAUCUUCCGCAAUGGGCGAAAGCCUGACGGAGCAACGCCGCGUGAGCGAUGAAGGUCUUCGGAUCGUAAAACUCUGUUAUUAGGGAAGAACAUAUGUGUAAGUAACUGUGCACAUCUUGACGGUACCUAAUCAGAAAGCCACGGCUAACUACGUGC
rnacentral:rRNA from 1 species